GAUGAACGCUGGCGGCGUGCCUAAUACAUGCAAGUCGAGCGAACAGACGAGGAGCUUGCUCCUUUGACGUUAGCGGCGGACGGGUGAGUAACACGUGGAUAACCUACCUAUAAGACUGGGAUAACUUCGGGAAACCGGAGCUAAUACCGGAUAACAUGUUGAACCGCAUGGUUCAACGGUGAAAGACGGUCUUGCUGUCACUUAUAGAUGGAUCCGCGCCGCAUUAGCUAGUUGGUAAGGUAACGGCUUACCAAGGCAACGAUGCGUAGCCGACCUGAGAGGGUGAUCGGCCACACUGGAACUGGGACACGGUCCAGACUCCUACGGGAGGCAGCAGUAGGGAAUCUUCCGCAAUGGGCGAAAGCCUGACGGAGCAACGCCGCGUGAGUGAAGAAGGUCUUCGGAUCGUAAAACUCUGUUAUUAGGGAAGAACAAAUGUGUAAGUAACUAUGCACGUCUUGACGGUAACUAAUCAGAAAGCCACGGCUAACUACGUGC
rnacentral:rRNA from 1 species